rnacentral:rRNA from 1 species
GAUGAACGCUAGCGGCAGGCUUGAUACAUGCAAGUCGUGGGGCAGCAUGAGUAGCAAUACUUGAUGGCGACCGGCAAACGGGUGAGGAACACGUACACAACCUUCCUUCAAGCGGGGAAUAGCCCAGAGAAAUUUGGAUUAAUACCCCCAUAAUAUAUUUGAUAAGGCAUCUUAUUAAUAUUAAAGCUUCGGCACUUGAUGAUGGGUGUGCGGCUGAUUAGAUAGUUGGCGGGGUAACGGCCCACCAAGUCUACGAUCAGUAGCUGAUGUGAGAGCAUGAUCAGCCACACGGGCACUGAGACACGGGCCCGACUCCUAUGGGAGGCAGCAGUAAGGAAUAUUGGACAAUGGACGAAAGUCUGAUCCAGCCAUGCCGCGUGAAGGAUUAAGGUCCUCUGGAUUGUAAACUUCUUUAUAUGGGACGAAAAAGGGCAUUCUUGUUCACUUGACGGUACCAUAUGAAUAAGCACCGGCUAACUCCGUGCCAG